GAUGAAGAACGCAGCGAAAUGCGAUAAGUAGUGUGAAUUGCAGAAUUCAGUAAAUCAUCGAAUCUUUGAACGCACAUUGCGCCCCUCGGCACUCCGGGGGGCAUGCCUGUCCGAGCGUCAUUGCACCCCUCGAGCCCCCCGUGGCUUGGUCGUGAGCCGCGCCCGCGCCAGCCCCGUCCCCCCCCGUGCAGCGGGGGGCAGGGGCGCCGGGCGGGCUCGAAACGCAGUGGCGGCCCCCGGGCGACUUCCAGCGCGAUGACAUGUUUCGCUGCCGAAGCCUUCGCCCCGGGUGCCCGCCAGGCAACCCCCGUGCUUCUUACGCGGUUGACCUCGGAUCAGGCAGGGAUACCCGCUGAACUUAAGCAUAUCAAUAAGCGGAGGA
rnacentral:misc_RNA from 1 species